CCAAGGAGUCUAACAUGUGCGCGAGUCACCGGGUCUUGUCCAGGCUCGGAGGCGAAAUGAAAGUGAAGGCCGAUCUGGGCGUCGGCUGCGGUGUGAUCCGUGCGGCACCGUUCCCGUCCGGUCCAUGUAGGCCGCCGGGGGCGGCGGUCGGCGGCGCAACACCGGCCCGUCCCGUCCGCCACGUCGGUGGGGCGGAGCGAGAGCGUACACGUUGGGACCCGAAAGAUGGUGAACUAUGCCUGGGCAGGACGAAGCCAGAGGAAACUCUGGUGGAGGUCCGCAGCGAUUCUGACGUGCAAAUCGAUCGUCAGACCUGGGUAUAGGGGCGAAAGACUAAUCGAACCAUCUAGUAGCUGGUUCCCUCCGAAGUUUCCCUCAGGAUAGCUGGCGCUCGAGGGAAGCAGUCUCAUCCGGUAAAGCGAAUGAUUAGAGGCCUUGGGGCCGAAACGACCUCAACCUAUUCUCAAACUUUCAAUGGGUGAGAAGUCCGGCUUGCUCGACUGAAGCCCGGACGUCCCAGGAUGCGAGUGCCCAGUGGGCCACUUUUGGUAAGCAGAACUGGCGCUGUGGGAUGAACCAAACGCUGGGUUAAGGCGCCCGAUGCCAGACGCUCAUCAGAUCCCAUGAAAGGUGUUGGUUGCUAUAGACAGCAGGACGGUGGCCAUGGAAGUCGGAAUCCGCUAAGGAGUGUGUAACAACUCACCUGCCGAAGCAACUAGCCCUGAAAAUGGAUGGCGCUGUAGCGUCGAGCCCAUACCCGGCCGCCCCGGCUGGGCACGGAAGCUUAAGCCGGGGUGAGUAGGAGGUGUCGCAGCGGCGUGCGUUGAAGGUGCCGGGCGCGGGCCCGCCUGGAGCCGCCGCUGGUGCAGAUCUUGGUGGUAGUAGCAAAUACUCAAGUGAGAACCUUGAGGACUGAGGUGGAGAAGGGUUCCAUGUGAACAGCAGUUGAACAUGGGUCAGUCGGUCCUAAGGGAUAGGAGAAAUCCGUUCCGAAGCGGGACCUGCGUGCACCGUGAGGUCCCGUGGUCGACCGAAAGGGAAUCGGGUUAAUAUUCCCGAACUCGGACGCGGAGAUCGGCCCCUCGGGGUCAACUGCGGUAACGCAACCAAACUCGGAGACGUCGAUCGGGGUCCCGGGAAGAGUUGUCUUUUCUUUGUAAGGGAUCGGCUCCCUGGAAUCGGCUCGCCCGGAGAUAGGGAUGCUGUUCCCGUAAAGCACCGCGGCUCUUGCGGUGUCCGGAGCGCUCCGGUCGGCCCUUGAAAAUCCGAGGGAGAGUGUGAUUUUCGUGCCGGACCGUACCCAUAUCCGCAGCAGGUCUCCAAGGUGAACAGCCUCUAGUCGAUGGAACA
rnacentral:rRNA from 1 species